UAGGAUUUAGCUCAGUGGUAGAGCGCUUGCUUAGCAAGCGCAAGGCCCUGGGUUCGGUCCCCAGCUUCCAAA
rfam:Rattus norvegicus chromosome 4, whole genome shotgun sequence.